GACGAACGCUGGCGGCGUGCUUAACACAUGCAAGUCGAGCGGUAAGGCCCUUUCGGGGGUACACGAGCGGCGAACGGGUGAGUAACACGUGGGUGACCUGCCCUCAGCUCUGGGAUAAGCCUGGGAAACUGGGUCUAAUACUGGAUAUGACUCCACGGUGCAUGUCGUGGGGUGGAAAGCCUUGUGCGGCUGAGGAUGGGCCCGCGACCUAUCAGCUUGUUGGUGGGGGAUGGCCUACCAAGGCGACGACGGGUAGCCGGCCUGAGAGGGCGACCGGCCACACUGGGACUGAGACACGGCCCAGACUCCUACGGGAGGCAGCAGUGGGGAAUCUUGCGCAAUGGGCGAAAGCCUGACGCAGCGACGCCGCGUGAGGGAUGACGGCCUGGU
rnacentral:rRNA from 1 species